rnacentral:rRNA from 1 species
UACGUAGGGUGCAAGCGUUAAUCGGAAUUACUGGGCGUAAAGCGUGCGCAGGCGGUUUUUUAAGCCAGAUGUGAAAGCCCCGGGCUCAACCUGGGAACUGCAUCUGGAACUACAAAACUUGAGUCUGGUAGAGGGGGGUAGAAUUCCGCGUGUAGCAGUGAAAUGCGUAGAGAUGCGGAGGAAUACCGAUGGCGAAGGCAGCCCCCUGGGAUAACACUGACGCUCAUGUGCGAAAGCGUGGGGAGCAAACAGG